CCUGUUCAUUGCAGGGGAGUUGGACUAGAUGACCUUUAAUAAUUCCUUUCAUCUCAAAUUAUUCUAUGAUUCUUUGAUUCAUACUCUCAAUGUAAAUCUGACUUUUUCUUGGGGACGAGGUGUGAGGAAUGGGAGAAGGCAACAGGUGAGUGUUGUGCUUUGUAAAGGCAAAUUUGGGUUGCAGUGAAAGUGCAGAAAACCAAACUAUCAAGUUAAUUUUAUAUAUGCUGCAGCAGGUGGCUUAGAAAGAAGAAACAAAAGAAUCCUGCGCCUCUGAAGUUUUGCUCUUACACUGCAACUCUGUGGCUCUGCCAAAGGUUGUGUCCAGAAAACAUGAGAGUCAAUGUGCUCCUUACUUCAUCAAAGUUUCCUUUUUGUUUGAAGCUGCUGGGAAUUUGCAGAGUUGUCGGGCUGCUAGGUUUCUCUUCUCCAGCAGCACACAAACUGCAGGUAUACAGGUGGAAAACAGAAGGGCAAAGAUGGUUGUGUGCAUCCCAUCAUCUUCUGUGCCACUGGGGCCAGAGCACCCUCAUAAAGCUGGCGUGUCAUGCUGCAACAACUUGAAGCGUUCAUGUUACCAAUGGCAUAACUGUCUGAUUUGUCUGUGCAUAAACAGGAAGAGUUUUCUGAUUACAAUAACAAAGCACAAUUAAUAUACUUGGUGAUUCAGCUCUUUCCUUGUGUUUGUGGGGGAGCUGCACCAUGUUGUGAAGUGCUGCAUGUUGGGAAGCAGUUGAGGCAGGGUGAGGUGUGUGAAUGUUCAUCAGGAUUACUUUUCUGCUCAGGAGCUGUUCUACAGAUAAACCAUUUAUAACAGCCAUGGAAAAGGUCCCCUUCCAAAUGACCUGAGGAUGCACCUUUUGCUCCAGCCACAUCUGUAUGAUUUGUCUCUUCUGUCUGGUUAUCAGUGGGACAUCUAAGAAGGACGAAUGCUCCAAUUAAAAUUUUUCCUGCUGCUUAAAGAAAGUUUAUUAUCUGCUUAGAAAUAAGAGAAGAAAAAUCUUCUGGAAGAGUUCUCCCUAUUAGAAGACCAGAAGGGAAUCAGAGGAAUGGUCACUAUUGGAAACAGCAUGAACACAACUCUGCAAAUCCUUCUCUGAGCUACCAAGGUCACAAGAAGAAAAACAACUUCUCUGCACUUGCUUAGAAAAAUGUGAUCACCAGGCAAGUUGGUGGAUGUCAGGUGCAGCCUGGAGCCCCUCCAAGCUAAUUGCAGAAACUGAAGAAGAUUUGCUGUGCUUCUGGAAGGCUCUUCUGAUAUCCUGCUCAUAGGCAACUGUUGUAGAAGGAAGGAUUAUGUAUAUACAUCUUUUCAGAUAAUCUGAAUAAACUGUUUAUGCAAGAUGCAGACUGACAGUUGCUGAGGAUAUAAAUCUCCUGUUUAGCAAUCAGUCUGUUUGCCUACAGUGCUUGCCAGUGUGACUCUGGCCAUUUCAGGAAGACUAGACUCAAGAUGUGAAGAUGUCUGGCCACCACGUCAAUUUGGUUGCAACUCGUUUGCUGAGGUUUGCUGAGCCUCCAUGUGUCAUCCCAACUCCCUAACAUGGAAGUAGCUGCUUAGCUUUGUCUCCUACCUCAGUAUUUCUCACCCUCUGUCCUGUAAUUGUCAGUGCCUUGGGUGCUCUGCAUGCAGCCUACUUAAGGAGUUCUCAAGAAAGGAAGGGUGAUACGGCCUGGAUCUGAUUGCCCUCCAGGGCAAGGUUUUGUGAGAAGAGAGCAAAGAGGGGCAGUGCCCCAAAGGCUGUCAUCAGUAGCGUUCUGUAGCCAAAUAAAUAAAGACCUUCUUAGAUGUCCAGG